GCAAUAAAAAAACUGAACUUAUUCAAGGGUGGUCGGCACACUCCCAGUAGAAAGGGGGUGGUGCUGUAUGACAGUGUUUGAAGCGUUAAUGUUUGCCUUAGCAUUUGCAAGCUUAAUCGUAGUCGUCCUGUCAUUUAACCAAAAAAAAUAAUCCACCCUUGAGUUUGUAAGCGAUUCGGUGGAUUAUUUCCCAUAAUUUGCUGACCGCCCAAAUAAGGGAAGCUUUUUAUUGCUAGACUGUUGGUGUUCACGCACCAGCA
rnacentral:sRNA from 1 species